CCCUUAGAUGUUCUGGGCAGCACGCGCGCUACAAUGGUCUUCGCAAACGGAUGCAUUCUCGAAGGAGAAUGCCAAUCUUGGAAUCUAUGCCUUGGUCGGGACAGUUGCUUGCAAUUUUUCGACUCGAACCAGGAAUUCCUUGUAAUCGUGUUUCAUCACAUCACGAUGAAUACGUCCCUGCCCUUUGUACACACCGCCCGUCGCUCCUACCGAUCGAAGAGUUAGGUGAAUUGUUUUGAUCGAUAAGAUUUGACUAUGGUCAACUCUCGUUGUGAAAUUCUGUGAAUCUGACUGUUUAGAGGAAGGAAAAGUCGUAACA
rnacentral:rRNA from 1 species